AGGAAAGUCCGGGCUUCACAGAGCAAUAAUAACGGCUAACGGCCGCCGGGGGCGACCCCAGGGAUAGUGCAACAGAAAAUAACCGCCAACCGAGUGCCUCAAAGGCAUUUGGGCAGACAGCUUUUUAACAAAGGCUGUUUUGGCAAGGAUGGAAAGGUGAGGUAAGAGCUCACCGGAGGGCAGGAGACUGCCCUGCCGUGUAAACCCUAUUUGAAGCAACACCGUGGAAGGACAUAUGCGCUUGCUCGGCGCGUCCUGAGGAGGUGGCACCGAGCGGAACGGGCAACCGUCCGCCAAGAUAGAUGGCUGUUCAAGACAGAACCCGGCUUACAGACGCAGU
rnacentral:RNase_P_RNA from 1 species